UGGCUCAUAAUUAAUAUCCAGAUUGGUUUAAUCAAUGGGUUAUUAUAAAUAUCCCAAUCUCCUGUUCGAUAUUGAUAGUGUAAAGGAAACAAAAUGAUGCUUGUUUUAAAAAAAAUCUGACUACUUUAGAGAAAGACCACCUUUGCAUGCCAAAGAAGCCAAUGACCAAGCAGGAGAAUUAGAUUCAUCGCCUCUUUUUUUCUCAGCAGCACCACAUUAAAGGCUAUUGUGUCAGAUGUUAAUCGCUCGAGCCUGAUGGAAGACACUGCGGCUGUGCAGAGAGGACCUCAAGCACGGGAGGGACUGACAGACACGACGAGGCAUUAAAGGCGGUAGAUUAAUCCUGAUCUCCGAGGAGCAAUUCCACAGCCGGAUCGACUUGUUCCAGCAUUUAUCGAGCUGCAGAUCUGCGUGGAGGAGCCCCGAUGCCGUUAGACUGGGCGCUGGAGAGAGUUUCCGGAGCUCAGUGGUGUGGAGCAGCGGAUGGACGUCCCGUGGGUCUGCAGGUCUGAUACCCUCACUUCUGCCUGCAGUCUGUCGAAGGGCCAGCGAAUCCCCGGAGAUGCUCCUUCACCACUGAUGUUGGGCAGGAUG